rnacentral:rRNA from 1 species
GAUGAACGCUAGCGGCAGGCUUAAUACAUGCAAGUCGAGGGGCAGCAUGAAGUAGCAAUACCUUGAUGGCGACCGGCAAACGGGUGCGGAACACGUACACAACCUCCCUUUAAGUGGGGAAUAGCCCAGAGAAAUUUGGAUUAAUACCCCGUAACACAACGAAGUGGCAUCACUUUGUUGUUAUAGUUUCGACGCUUAACGAUGGGUGUGCGUAUGAUUAGAUAGUUGGCGAGGUAGCGGCUCACCAAGUCUACGAUCAUUAGCUGAUGUGAGAGCAUGAUCAGCCACACGGGCACUGAGACACGGGCCCGACUCCUACGGGAGGCAGCAGUAAGGAAUAUUGGUCAAUGGACGCAAGUCUGAACCAGCCAUGCCGCGUGAAGGAUUAAGGUCCUCUGGAUUGUAAACUUCUUUUAUAUGGGACGAAAAAAGGUCUUUCUAGACCCCUUGACGGUACCAUAUGAAUAAGCACCGGCUAACUCCGUGCCAGCAGCCGCGGUAA